rnacentral:rRNA from 1 species
CACCUUAUCUUAGCGGCGGACGGGUGAGUAAUGCUUAGGAAUCUGCCAUUUAGUGGGGGACAACAUUCCGAAAGGAAUGCUAAUACCGCAUACGUCCUACGGGAGAAAGCAGGGGAUCUUCGGACCUUGCGCUAAAUGAUGAGCCUAAGUCGGAUUAGCUAGUUGGUGGGGUAAAGGCCUACCAAGGCGACGAUCUGUAGCGGGUCUGAGAGGAUGAUCCGCCACACUGGGACUGAGACACGGCCCAGACUCCUACGGGAGGCAGCAGUGGGGAAUAUUGGACAAUGGGCGGAAGCCUGAUCCAGCCAUGCCGCGUGUGUGAAGAAGGCCUUUUGGUUGUAAAGCACUUUAAGCGAGGAGGAGGCUACUAGUAUUAAUACUACUGGAUAGUGGACGUUACUCGCAGAAUAAGCACCGGCUAACUCUGUGCCAGCAGCCGCGGUAAUACAGAGGGUGCGAGCGUUAAUCGGAUUUACUGGGCGUAAAGCGUGCGUAGGCGGCUGAUUAAGUCGGAUGUGAAAUCCCUGAGCUUAACUUAGGAAUUGCAUUCGAUACUGGUCAGCUAGAGUAUGGGAGAGGAUGGUAGAAUUCCAGGUGUAGCGGUGAAAUGCGUAGAGAUCUGGAGGAAUACCGAUGGCGAAGGCAGCCAUCUGGCCUAAUACUGACGCUGAGGUACGAAAGCAUGGGGAGCAAACAGGAUUAGAUACCCUGGUAGUCCAUGCCGUAAACGAUGUCUACUAGCCGUUGGGGCCUUUGAGGCUUUAGUGGCGCAGCUAACGCGAUAAGUAGACCGCCUGGGGAGUACGGUCGCAAGACUAAAACUCAAAUGAA